AUGUUGGUGCAAAAGUAACUGCGGUCUUUGCUUUUUUUUUUUUCCUUAAUGGCAAAAACCUCAGUUACUUUUUCACCAACCUAAUACUU
rnacentral:miRNA from 1 species